AACUGUGGUCUCUUACCUGAACUUGGAAGCUAAGCAGGGUUGGGUGUGGUUAAUACUUGGAUAGGAGACUGCCCAGGAAUACCAGGUGCUGUAGGUA
ensembl:rRNA 5S_rRNA 5S ribosomal RNA